UUCCGAACAGAGAAGUUAAGCCCGUCAGCGCCGAUGGUACUGCGGGGGGGACCCCGUGGGAGAGUAGGUCGUCGCCCAUU
rnacentral:rRNA from 1 species